rnacentral:sRNA from 1 species
CCCAGGGCUUACGCCCUGGGCUGUGUUAUGUCGCACCUUCGGUGCU